rnacentral:rRNA from 1 species
AACACGACUCUCGGCAACGGAUAUCUCGGCUCUUGCCACGAUGAAGAAUGUAGCAAAAUGUGAUACUUAGUGUGAAUUGUAGAAUCUUGUGAAUCAUCGAGUCUUUGAAUGCAAGUUGCACCCGAGGCUCCAGCCGAGGGCACGUCUGCUUGGGCAUUGCAC